AGCUUUGCAUAGUAGCAGUAUUGCAGCCAAUGAGGUUUAUCCAAGGUGUGAUUAUCGCUAAUUGAAAGCUUUUCUGAAUAUCCAGCUGUGAUGACUUGCAAUAUAGUCAGUACUGGCAAUUUUUGACGGUCUCUAUGGAGA
ensembl:snRNA U4 U4 spliceosomal RNA